UAGACCAGUGAUGUUGACUGGUGGCAUAGGAGUCAUAUACGAAUGUGAUGUGUCUGUAACUCUGAUGCCACA
ensembl:snoRNA